rnacentral:rRNA from 1 species
GAGUGAAGCGGCAAAAGCUCAAAUUUGAAAUCUGGCACUUUCAGUGUCCGAGUUGUAAUUUGAAGAAGGUAUCUUUGGGUCUGGCUCUUGUCUAUGUUUCUUGGAACAGAACGUCACAGAGGGUGAGAAUCCCGUGCGAUGAGAUGUCCCAGACCUAUGUAAAGUUCCUUCGAAGAGUCGAGUUGUUUGGGAAUGCAGCUCUAAGUGGGUGGUAAAUUCCAUCUAAAGCUAAAUAUUGGCGAGAGACCGAUAGCGAACAAGUACAGUGAUGGAAAGAUGAAAAGAACUUUGAAAAGAGAGUGAAAAAGUACGUGAAAUUGUUGAAAGGGAAGGGCUUGAGAUCAGACUUGGUAUUUUGUAUGUUACUCUCUCGGGGGUGGCCUCUACAGUUUACCGGGCCAGCAUCAGUUUGAGCGGUAGGAUAAGUGCAAAGAAAUGUGGCACUGCUUCGGUAGUGUGUUAUAGUCUUUGUCGAUACUGCCAGCUUAGACUGAGGACUGCGGCUUCGGCCUAGGAUGUUGGCAUAAUGAUCUUAAGUCGCCCGUCUUGAAACACGGACCAAGGAGUCUAACGUCUAUGCGAGUGUUUGGGUGUAAAACCCGUACGCGUAAUGAAAGUGAACGUAGGUAGGACCUCCUUUAGGAGUGCACUAUCGACCGAUCCUGAUGUCUUCGGAUGGAUUUGAGUAAGAGCAUAGCUGUUGGGACCCGAAAGAUGGUGAACUAUGCCUGAAUAGGGUGAAGCCAGAGGAAACUCUGGUGGAGGCUCGUAGCGGUUCUGACGUGCAAAUCGAUCGUCG